rnacentral:rRNA from 1 species
UACGUAGGGAGCGAGCGUUGUCCGGAAUUACUGGGUGUAAAGGGUGCGUAGGCGGGGCUGCAAGUUGGAUGUGAAAUACCGGGGCUUAACCCCGGGGCUGCAUCCAAAACUGUAGCUCUUGAGUGAAGUAGAGGCAGGCGGAAUUCCGAGAGUAGCGGUGAAAUGCGUAGAUAUUCGGAGGAACACCAGUGGCGAAGGCGGCCUGCUGGGCUUUUACUGACGCUGAGGCACGAAAGCAUGGGGAGCAAACAGG